rnacentral:rRNA from 1 species
ACGGAGGGUGCAAGCGUUAAUCGGAAUUACUGGGCGUAAAGCGCGCGUAGGUUGCUUGCUAAGCGAGAUGUGAAAGCCCCGGGCUUAACCUGGGAACUGCAUUUCGAACUGGUCGGCUAGAGUACAGUAGAGGGUGGCGGAAUUUCCUGUGUAGCGGUGAAAUGCGUAGAGAUGGGAAGGAACAUCAGUGGCGAAGGCGGCCACCUGGACUGAUACUGACACUGAGGUGCGAAAGCGUGGGGAGCAAACAGG